GGAGUUGUGGCUAAGUGGUACAGCGCUUACCUAGCAUUUGUAAGACACAGGGUUCAAUUCUCAGCACCCCA
rnacentral:tRNA from 1 species